GAUCAAACGUUGAAGGGCUUCUGACGGAUGCCUUGGCGUAGAGAGGCGAUGAAGGACGUGGCAAGCUGCGAUAAGAACCGGGGAGGCGCUAGCACCCUUUGAUCCGGUUAUUUCCGAAUGGGGAAACCCACCUUUACAGUCUUCCAACUCUGUUUCUUCGGAGACAGCGAUUGGCGGAUUGUUGAAAGGUAUAAUGAGCUGAAUACAUAGGCUUCAUUAAGCGAACCCGGGGAACUGAAACAUCUCAGUACCCGGAGGAAAGGACAUCAACCGAGACUCCCGUAGUAGUGGCGAGCGAACCGGGACCAGGCCAGUGCUCUUGUGAAAUAAAGACGAACGAUCUGGAAAGGUCGGCCAUAGUGGGUGAAAGCCCCGUAGUCAUCAAA
rnacentral:rRNA from 1 species